rnacentral:snoRNA from 1 species
UGAUGAGACAUCUCCGGAAUCGCUGCACCGCUGUGAUGAUUCCCUUGAACCCUUUCGUGGCUGUUGGCUCAAGGUGCUUUCGC